rnacentral:rRNA from 1 species
AGAAGUAUUUUUCCCAGGGCGCCUUCGGCGCGGCGCCUUCCGAGUUCCCUGGAACGGGACGCCACAGAGGGUGAGAGCCCCGUACGGUCGGACGCCCAGCCGGCGUAAAGCCCCUUCGACGAGUCGAGUAGUUUGGGAAUGCUGCUCAAAACGGGAGGUAUAUGUCUUCUAAAGCUAAAUACCGGCCAGAGACCGAUAGCGCACAAGUAGAGUGAUCGAAAGAUGAAAAGCACUUUGGAAAGAGGGUUAAACAGUACGUGAAAUUGUUGAAAGGGAAGCGCUCGCGACCAGACGCGGGACCCGCGAAUCACGCCAGCGUUCUCGCCGGUGCGCUCCGCGGGCCCAGGCCAGCAUCGGCCCGCCGCGGGGGACAAAGGCGCCGGGAACGUGGCUCCCCCCGGGGAGUGUUAUAGCCCGGUGCGUAAUGCCCUGCGGCGGACCGAGGCACGCGCUUCGCAAGGAUGCUGGCGUAAUGGUCAUCAGCGACCCGUCUUGAAACACGGACCAAGGAGUCGUCCUCGUAUGCGAGUGUUCGGGUGUCAAACCCCUACGCGGAAUGAAAGUGAACGCAGGUGAGAGCCUCGGCGCAUCAUCGACCGAUCCUGAUGUUCUCGGAUGGAUUUGAGUAAGAGCAUACGGGGCCGGACCCGAAAGAAGGUGAACUAUGCCUGCGUAGGGUGAAGCCAGAGGAAACUCUGGUGGAGGCUCGCAGCGGUUCUGACGUGCAAAUCGAUCGUCAAACGUGGGCAUGGGGGCGAAAG